rnacentral:rRNA from 1 species
AUUGAACGCUGGCGGCAGGCCUAACACAUGCAAGUCGAGCGGAUGAAGUGAGCUUGCUCCUUGAUUCAGCUGCGGACGGGUGAGUAAUUCCUAGGUAUCUGCCUUGUCGUGUGGGAUAACGUCCGAACACGGGCGCUAAUACCGCAUACGUCCUUAGGUAGAAAGUGGGGGAUCUUCGGACCUCACGCUCUCAGAUGAUCCUAGGUCGGAUUAGCUAGUUGGUGGGGUAAAGGCCUACCAAGGCGACGAUCCGUAACUGGUCUGAGAGGAUGAUCAGUCACACUGGAACUGAGACACGGUCCAGACUCCUACGGGAGGCAGCAGUGGGGAAUAUUGGACAAUGGGCGAAAGCCUGAUCCAGCCAUGCCGCGUGUGUGAAGAAGGUCUUCGGAUUGUAAAGCACUUUAAGUGGGGAGGAAGGGAAGUAAGUUAAUACCUUGCUGUUUUGACGGUACCAAAAGAAUAAGCACCGGCUAACUUCGUG